GUGUCAGCAGCCGCGGUAAUACAGAGACUGCAAGCGUUACUCGGAUUCACUGGGCGUAAAGGGAGCGCAGGCGGACCGGUGUGUCAGAUGUGAAACCCCAGGGCUCAACCCUGGGACUGCGUCUGAAACUGCCGGUCUAGGGACUCGGAGGGGCUAGUGGAAUUCCUGGUGGAGCAGUGAAAUGCGUAGAUAUCAGGAGGAACACCAACGGCGAAGGCAGCUAGCUGGACGAGAUCCGACGCUCAGGCUCGAAAGUAUGGGGAGCAAAAAGGAUUAGAUACCCCGGUAGUCC
rnacentral:rRNA from 1 species